rnacentral:rRNA from 1 species
CCUACGGGGGGCAGCAGUGGGGAAUAUUGCACAAUGGGGGAAACCCUGAUGCAGCGACGCCGCGUGAGUGAAGAAGUAUUUCGGUUUGUAAAGCUCUAUCAGCAGGGAAGAAAAAAGACGGUACCUGACUAAGAAGCCCCGGCUAACUACGUGCCAGCAGCCGCGGUCAUACGUAGGGUGAAAGCGUUCUCCGGAUUUACUGGGUGUAAAGGUAGCGUAGACGGCGCGGCAAAGCUGAAGUGAAAGGCAGGGGGUUAAACCAUGAUCUGCUUUGGAAACUGCAAUGCUUGAGUGCUGGAGAGGGAAGUGGAAUUCCUAGUGUAGCGGUGAAAUGCGUAGAUAUUAGGAGGAACACCGGUGGCGAAGGCGGCUUACUGGACAGUAACUGACGUUGAGGCUCGAAAGCGUGGGGAGCAAACAGGAUUAGAUACCCCUGUAGUC